rnacentral:lncRNA from 1 species
AGGUGAUGGAAAUUAGAGUCCUGCUUAAAAAAUACAGAUGUUCUGGAAUAUCAAGCAACAAUUUCAAGCUUUCACACUUCUGGAUUGAAACACAGUUUAAAGAGGGAAUAAAAACCUGAAGAAAGAGCCACAGGACUGGACUGGGCUAAGGCAUGUUAAUGGCCAUGUUCUAGAGAAACGAUCUAUAAACUCCUCUGCUGAGGUCCCCACACCUGUCCUUGUUCUCUUUCUUCCUGAGGCUGAGUGUCUUUCCUGCUGUUCUGUGAUGCUUUUGCAACACUACUGAAUAAAUCUCUCUCCAGGAAUUGUUUUCUUUUUCAUGAAACACCUCUCUCCUCCCUUAUCUCACCACAAAAAAGUAAAAAAUAAAAAGAAUAUUUAAUGUUCAGAAUCCACAA